rnacentral:lncRNA from 13 species
AUAUUCAUAUCAAUACAGGAGGAAGAUUCAUAUCAAUUCAGGAGAAAGAGUCAUAUCAAUACAGGAGGAAGAUUCAUAUCAAUACAGGAGAAAGAUUCAUAUCAAUACAGGAGAAAGAGUCAUAUCAAUACAGGAGGAAUAUUCAUAUCAAUACAGGAGGAAGAUUCAUAUCAAUACAGGAGAGUCAUAUCAAUAAAGUAAAAUAGUCAUAUCAAUACAGGAGAAAGAGUCAUAUCAAUACAGGAGAAAGAGUCAUGUCAAUACAGGAGAAAUAGUCAUAUCAAUACAGGAGAAAGAGUCAUAUCAAUACAGGAGAAAGUCAUAUCAGUACAGGAGAAGAGUCAUAUCAAUACAGGAGAAAGAGUCAUAUCAGUACAGGAGAAGAGUCAUAUCAAUAGAGGAGAAAGUGUCAUAUCAAUACAGGAGUAAGAUUAAUAUCAAUACAGUAAAAGAGUAAUAUCAAUACAGGAGAAGGUGUCAUAUCAAUACAGUAAAAGAGUCAUAUCAAUAGAGGAGAAAGAGUCAUAUCAAUACAGGAGAAAGAUUAAUAUCAAUACAGUAAAAGAGUAAUAUCAAUACAGGAGAAGGUGUCAUAUCAAUACAGGAGAAAGAGUCAUAUCAAUACAGGAGAAAGAGUCAUAUCAAUAGAGGAGAAAGAGUCAUAUCAAUACAGGAGAAAGAUUCAUAUCAAUACAGGAGAGUCAUAUCAAUACAGGAGAAAGAUUCAUAUCAAUACAGGAUAAAGAGUCAUAUCAAUACAGGAGGAAGAUUCAUAUCAAUACAGGAGAGUCAUGUCAAUAAAGUAAAAGAGUCAUAUCAAUACAGGAGAAAGAGUCAUAUCAAUACAGGAGAACGAGUCAUAUCAAUACAGGAGAAGGCUGACAUGGCAAGCUGGACACUGUAGACAUCCAUAGUAAUGUUUAUGUAGAAGAUUGAUUGUACCACGUAUACACACAUUUUCACUGACUCUCUUUUUUAACAUUAUCAUACAAACUGACAGCUCCUCCCUGAGAGGGUCACAUAAGCCCACACGCACGCACGCACGCACACACACACACACACACACACACACACACACACACACACACA